CAGCCGCCGCGGGAAUACGGAGGGGGCUAGCGUUGUUCGGAAUUACUGGGCGUAAAGCGUACGUAGGCGGCUUUGUAAGUUAGAGGUGAAAGCCUGGUGCUCAACACCAGAACUGCCUUUAAGACUGCAUCGCUUGAACGUCGGAGAGGUGAGUGGAAUUCCGAGUGUAGAGGUGAAAUUCGUAGAUAUUCGGAAGAACACCAGUGGCGAAGGCGGCUCACUGGACGACUGUUGACGCUGAGGUACGAAAGCGUGGGGAGCAAACAGGAUUAGAUACCCCCGUAGUCCCUGUCUCUUAUAC
rnacentral:rRNA from 1 species